rnacentral:rRNA from 2 species
CGGGGGAACUGAAACAUCUAAGUACCCCGAGGAAAAGAAAUCAACCGAGAUUCCCCCAGUAGCGGCGAGCGAACGGGGAGGAGCCCAGAGCCUGAAUCAGUGUGUGUGUUAGUGGAAGCGUCUGGAAAGGCGUGCGAUACAGGGUGACAGCCCCGUACACAAAAAUGCACAUAUUGUGAGCUCGAUGAGUAGGGCGGGACACGUGGUAUCCUGUCUGAAUAUGGGGGGACCAUCCUCCAAGGCUAAAUACUCCUGACUGACCGAUAGUGAACCAGUACCGUGAGGGAAAGGCGAAAAGAACCCCGGCGAGGGGAGUGAAAAAGAACCUGAAACCGUGUACGUACAAGCAGUGGGAGCCUCUUAAUGGGGUGACUGCGUACCUUUUGUAUAAUGGGUCAGCGACUUAUAUUCUGUAGCAAGGUUAACCGAAUAGGGGAGCCGAAGGGAAACCGAGUCUUAACUGGGCGUUAAGUUGCAGGGUAUAGACCCGAAACCCGGUGAUCUAGGCAUGGGCAGGUUGAAGGUUGGGUAACACUAACUGGAGGACCGAACCGACUAAUGUUGAAAAAUUAGCGGAUGACUUGUGGCUGGGGGUGAAAGGCCAAUCAAACCGGGAGAUAGCUGGUUCUCCCCGAAAGCUAUUUAGGUAGCGCCUCGUGAAUUCAUCUCCGGGGGUAGAGCACUGUUUCGGCAAGGGGGUCAUCCCGACUUACCAACCCGAUGCAAACUGCGAAUACCGGAGAAUGUUAUCACGGGAGACACACGGCGGGUGCUAACGUCCGUCGUGAAGAGGGAAACAACCCAGACCGCCAGCUAAGGUCCCAAAGUCAUGGUUAAGUGGGAAACGAUGUGGGAAGGCCCAGACAGCCAGGAUGUUGGCUUAGAAGCAGCCAUCAUUUAAAGAAAGCGUAAUAGCUCACUGGUCGAGUCGGCCUGCGCGGAAGAUGUAACGGGGCUAAACCAUGCACCGAAGCUGCGGCAGCGACGCUUAUGCGUUGUUGGGUAGGGGAGCGUUCUGUAAGCCUGUGAAGGUGGCCUGUGAGGGUUGCUGGAGGUAUCAGAAGUGCGAAUGCUGACAUAAGUAACGAUAAAGCGGGUGAAAAGCCCGCUCGCCGGAAGACCAAGGGUUCCUGUCCAACGUUAAUCGGGGCAGGGUGAGUCGACCCCUAAGGCGAGGCCGAAAGGCGUAGUCGAUGGGAAACAGGUUAAUAUUCCUGUACUUGGUGUUACUGCGAAGGGGGGACGGAGAAGGCUAUGUUGGCCGGGCGACGGUUGUCCCGGUUUAAGCGUGUAGGCUGGUUUUCCAGGCAAAUCCGGAAAACCAAGGCUGAGGCGUGAUGACGAGGCACUACGGUGCUGAAGCGACAAAUGCCCUGCUUCCAGGAAAAGCCUCUAAGCAUCAGGUAACAUCAAAUCGUACCCCAAACCGACACAGGUGGUCAGGUAGAGAAUACCAAGGCGCUUGAGAGAACUCGGGUGAAGGAACUAGGCAAAAUGGUGCCGUAACUUCGGGAGAAGGCACGCUGAUAUGUAGGUGAAGCGACUUGCUCGUGGAGCUGAAAUCAGUCGAAGAUACCAGCUGGCUGCAACUGUUUAUUAAAAACACAGCACUGUGCAAACACGAAAGUGGACGUAUACGGUGUGACGCCUGCCCGGUGCCGGAAGGUUAAUUGAUGGGGUUAGCGGCAACGCGAAGCUCUUGAUCGAAGCCCCGGUAAACGGCGGCCGUAACUAUAACGGUCCUAAGGUAGCGAAAUUCCUUGUCGGGUAAGUUCCGACCUGCACGAAUGGCGUAAUGAUGGCCAGGCUGUCUCCACCCGAGACUCAGUGAAAUUGAACUCGCUGUGAAGAUGCAGUGUACCCGCGGCAAGACGGAAAGACCCCGUGAACCUUUACUAUAGCUUGACACUGAACAUUGAGCCUUGAUGUGUAGGAUAGGUGGGAGGCUUUGAAGUGUGGACGCCAGUCUGCAUGGAGCCGACCUUGAAAUACCACCCUUUAAUGUUUGAUGUUCUAACGUUGGCCCGUAAUCGGGGUUGCGGACAGUGUCUGGUGGGUAGUUUGACUGGGGCGGUCUCCUCCUAAAGAGUAACGGAGGAGCACGAAGGUUGGCUAAUCCUGGUCGGACAUCAGGAGGUUAGUGCAAUGGCAUAAGCCAGCUUGACUGCGAGCGUGACGGCGCGAGCAGGUGCGAAAGCAGGUCAUAGUGAUCCGGUGGUUCUGAAUGGAAGGGCCAUCGCUCAACGGAUAAAAGGUACUCCGGGGAUAACAGGCUGAUACCGCCCAAGAGUUCAUAUCGACGGCGGUGUUUGGCACCUCGAUGUCGGCUCAUCACAUCCUGGGGCUGAAGUAGGUCCCAAGGGUAUGGCUGUUCGCCAUUUAAAGUGGUACGCGAGCUGGGUUUAGAACGUCGUGAGACAGUUCGGUCCCUAUCUGCCGUGGGCGCUGGAGAACUGAGGGGGGCUGCUCCUAGUACGAGAGGACCGGAGUGGACGCAUCACUGGUGUUCGGGUUGUCAUGCCAAUGGCACUGCCCGGUAGCUAAAUGCGGAAGAGAUAAGUGCUGAAAGCAUCUAAGCACGAAACUUGCCCCGAGAUGAGUUCUCCCUGAGACUUAGAGUCUCCUGAAGGAACGUUGAAGACGACGACGUUGAUAGGCCGGGUGUGUAAGCGCAGCGAUGCGUUGAGCUAACCGGUACUAAUGAACCGUGAGGCUUAACCUU